AUAGCAUAUGCCCAAUCGGGGAAAAGAUCAACAAUAGGCUAACAAAACCCAUUAUCCAUCGAUAAGGCAAUUUAGCUCCCUAGUUCUUGUUAAUUUUCAUUUACAGGAUAUAGGCAUGAGAGCAUAGAAUGCUAAAAUAAUUAACUACAAUAAAUAACAGAACCUGUUUUUGACUCUAUCCCAAUAUCAGUGGAAGCAAGAUUUUGCACUAGAUGCUUCUCCCUUAUGAUCUCCCUUAUGAUCUAAUCUAAAACUCUCU
rnacentral:lncRNA from 1 species